GACGAACGCUGGCGGCGUGCCUAAUACAUGCAAGUAGAACGCUGACUACUUUAGCUUGCUAGAGUAGAAGGAGUUGCGAACGGGUGAGUAACGCGUAGGUAACCUGCCUACUAGCGGGGGAUAACUAUUGGAAACGAUAGCUAAUACCGCAUAACAGUGUUUAACACAUGUUAGAUGCUUGAAAGAUGCAAUUGCAUCACUAGUAGAUGGACCUGCGUUGUAUUAGCUAGUUGGUGGGGUAACGGCCCACCAAGGCGACGAUACAUAGCCGACCUGAGGGGGUGAUCGGCCACACUGGGACUGAGACACGGCCCAGACUCCUACGGGAGGCAGCAGUAGGGAAUCUUCGGCAAUGGGGGCAACCCUGACCGAGCAACGCCGCGUGAGUGAAGAAGGUUUUCGGAUCGUAAAGCUCUGUUGUAAGAGAAGAACGUGUGUGAGAGUGGAAAGUUCACGCAGUGACGGUAACUUACCAGAAAGGGACGGCUAACUACGUGCCAGCAGCCGCGGUAA
rnacentral:rRNA from 1 species